rnacentral:rRNA from 1 species
UGGGGAAUAUUGGACAAUGGGCGAAAGCCUGAUCCAGCGACGCCGCGUGGGUGAAGAAGGCCUGCGGGUUGUAAAGCCCUUUCGGUUGGGAAGAAAAGUAUCGACCUAACACGUCGGUACCUUGACGUAACCAACAAAAGAAGCACCGGCUAACUCUGUGCCAGCAGCCGCGGUAAUACAGAGGGUGCGAGCGUUAAUCGGAAUUACUGGGCGUAAAGCGCGCGUAGGCGGUCGAACAAGUCGAGUGUGAAAUCCCCGGGCUUAACCUGGGAGCUGCAUUCGAAACUGUUUGGCUAGAGUAUGGGAGAGGGAAGUGGAAUUUCAGGUGUAGCGGUGAAAUGCGUAGAUAUCUGAAGGAACAUCAGUGGCGAAAGCGACUUCCUGGACCAAUACUGACGCUCAUGUGCGAAAGCGUGGGGAGCAAACAGGAUUAGAUACCCCCGUAGUCC